AUUGAACGCUGGCGGCAGGCCUAACACAUGCAAGUCGAGCGGAUGAAGGGAGCUUGCUCCUGGAUUCAGCGGCGGACGGGUGAGUAAUGCCUAGGAAUCUGCCUGGUAGUGGGGGAUAACGUCCGGUAACGGGCGCUAAUCCCGCAUACGUCCUGAGGGAGAAAGUGGGGGAUCUUCGGACCUCACGCUAUCAGAUGAGCCUAGGUCGGAUUAGCUAGUUGGUGGGGUAAAGGCCUACCAAGGCGACGAUCCGUAACUGGGCUGAGAGGAUGAUCAGUCACACUGGAACUGAGACACGGUCCAGACUCCUACGGGAGGCAGCAGUGGGGAAUAUUGCACAAUGGGCGAAAGCCUGAUCCAGCCAUGCCGCGUGUGUGAAGAAGGUCUUCGGAUUGUAAAGCACUUUAAGUUGGGAGGAAGAAAAGUGAGUGAAAACCUUGCUGUUUUGACGUUACCAACAGAGAAAGCCCCGGCUAACUUCGUG
rnacentral:rRNA from 1 species